CUGGGACUGGCGUUGGAAAACCGCAGAGCGAGUUGUUUGCAGCUGGUGACAGUUGUCUCAGCAGACGGACGGGAGGAGGUGAUACGGAUUUAAGGAGUUGAAUGAAACAGAAACGACCGAGUAGAACCACUCGGCCUCCAAGACGGAUGCCACAUGACCUAUGUUCCCUCUAAGCUGUGCGCGUGCACACAUUUUCAACCAGCGUACAAAGGAAAUUAAUGUGCGCACAAAAGGAAUUCUGCAGAUGCCGGAAAUUCAAGCAACACACAUCAAAGUUGCUGGUGAACGCAGCAGGCCAGGCAGCAUCUCUAGGAAGAGGUGCAGUCGACGUUUCAGGCCGAGACCCUUCAUCAGGACUAACUGAAGGAAGAGCUAGGGACCGUGCACACUUCUGAUUUGAUGCAGACAGACAUGAGAGUACGGAGGAACAUCUGGAGAAUCUUCUGAAAUGCCCGCUUCGCUGCUGCUGUUACUGUGUGGGCCAGAAUCUCCGGAGAAGGCCCCGA